CGCCUGGGGAGUACGGCCGCAAGGUUAAAACUCAAAUGAAUUGACGGGGGCCCGCACAAGCGGUGGAGCAUGUGGUUUAAUUCGAUGCAACGCGAAGAACCUUACCUGGUCUUGACAUCCACGGAAGAAUUCAGAGAUGGAUUUGUGCCUUCGGGAACCGUGAGACAGGUGCUGCAUGGCUGUCGUCAGCUCGUGUUGUGAAAUGUUGGGUUAAGUCCCGCAACGAGCGCAACCCUUAUCCUUUGUUGCCAGCGGUCCGGCCGGGAACUCAAAGGAGACUGCCAGU
rnacentral:rRNA from 2 species